GGUAUCAUAAAUACAAUAUUAAACUUCAAGAAAUACACAGCUAAUUUGGAGAAAGCUCUUAUUUGCACAAUUACAACUUACAAAUUUACCUACUUUAGGCAUAUUAUACAUUGCCCACAUGUGUUCUACAAUUUAGCCAAACUAUUCUUAAUCCCCAAACUUCAUCUUCCACCUCCAAGUCUUUGCUUAAGUUGUCCACUAUAUCUGGAAUACAUUAUCUUCUCACUUCCACCUACUAGAAUCAAAGUGAUUGUUCAUAAUUCCCCCCCAUACUUGUUGCUGCCUUAUCUCUGAAAUUACAUUUGUAAUGUAUAUAUGUAUGCAUGCAUAUAUACAAUAUACAUGUGUGUGUUAUAUGUUGUCUCCCCAAGAAUCUCCCAGAGAGCAGGGAAUCCAAAAAUGUUUGCUGAUUAAUUGCUAUAAGAAGUCAAGCUAAUAAACACUAUCCCUUGCUUUUGCUACAUGGUUGGUUCAAUGCCUUUUUCAGUCAUCCAUAAUCGUAUUGAUAAUCUUUGCUUGAUGUUCCUGUGUAGUCUUUGUUAAUAAUUAUAAGCUUAUGGGUGAGAUACCAAGAAGUUAGAUAAACACCCAAAAGGACCAUAGUAACUCCCUCCCCUUGCCUCAUCAACCACAGCAGAAUUAUGGUUGAAAAAGUUGGGUAUACAGGAACUUCCCAGUACAUAACUGGGUCAAUCGAUGGUCAAAUAUGGAGUCUCUUCCACUGGCUAUGGGCCUAGCAAUAGGCUAAUCCUUACAGCAAUAUGUUUCAGUCUAUUCAUAUUCACCAUGGUACCAUGUCUCAUUGUGCCUCUGAGGUGAUGAUAGAAAGCAUUAUUUAUUUGCUUAUUUAUUAUGCUAUCAUUUGGUUGAGAUGACAUGGACUUUCUGUCAUUCAACUAUUGUAGAGAGUGGAUCUCUGGAGAAGUAUAACUGAUGAGACAAUGGUUCUCUAGUUCACAUAUAUACUUAGUAUGGUAAUGUAAUGGUUCUCUAAGUUCACACAUAAUCAGUAUGCUGUAAUGAUGUAAUUAUUGUAUGUAUUAUGUAUGUAGGUAUAUAUUAUACCUACAUACAAGGUAUAUAAGGGCUAAAAAGGACUGAAAGAGAGACAUUCUAUCUCUGACCAGCCUGGUGGUGGCUCUCCUGCCUCCUGCACUAAGAUCAAGACUCGGCCAGAAUAAAGGCUCUAGACUCUAUUCUUGACCAUUCUCGUGAUGUUAUCCUGCUGAGACCAAGGCCCAUCUGAAGGACCUCUAGAAAACUAGCCCAAACAUUACAAAUUAUAAAAUUAUGCUCCUCUGCAUAGCUCCAAGGUAUUCUACAACAACACGGUUUGGAAAUCAUUGGUAUCAAAGAAUAUUGGUCCUGGAAUUAAAAAACCCAUGAACUUGCUACCUCUAGGAGCUAAUAUAAUAUGAUUUGUUAUAAUAUGAAAUAUGAUAUAAAAUUAUAUAUAAUUAUAUAUGUUAUGCAGUAUAUAACAUUUGUAUUUUAUAACAAUAUACAGAUAUAUUUUGUCAUAUAACAUGUUCUAUAUUAAAUAAUGCAUAUUAAAUAUUACUCUUAAUGCAUAUUGCCAUCUAGCCAAAUGAGAUAAUUCCAUCUCCCUGCUCUCCCCUGCUUUGUUGCUUUUAUCUAUAUAAUUCAAUGUCUAAAAUAAAACACUUCCUCACCGCACACCUUUUACUUGUUGAAAAUCUUUCCCUUUCUUCAUAGUUCCCUUGCCUUACAAUUCAACUCACAUUCUACCUCUUCCAUGAAGCCUUCCCUGAAAACCUUCUCCAAAAGAAAGCAAUCUUUCUUUCCUUUAAAUUACUCAUAGCACUUUGCCCGAGACCGUUUCAUAUUUAUUACAAUAUUGAUUGAAUCAUUUAUAUUGUGUAUUUGUUCUCCUUGAAGUCAGAGUCUGCAUCUUAUUCCAUCUUUUUUAUAAUGUAGUCAUUUGUUGAAUCUAAUUGAAUUUACCUGUAGGUAGCUACCUGCUACCUGGUAUCAGGCAGCAGAAGAGUUGGACAUUUGGAAUUUAAUCUUCUAAUGCCAAAGGCAGAGUUCUUAGUUUCACUCUACAAUUAGUCUAUAAAUAUUUAUUAAGUGCCUAUUAUUAAGUAUCUGCCAGACUCUCAGAUUUAGGCUUUUAGGUUAAGGGUUGGACAAAUCAAAGAUUAAACCCUUUAAACGGAUUUGCCACUUCUAUAAAAGAAGGAUUUCAAGAAUUAUCAAGAGGGUUUCUGGGAAAAUGGCUGCCAAAAUGACUGCAGGAACCCCAAUCCUCCCACACCCAAUAAAAACCUGAAAUUACCACCAAACUGAAUAAUGAUCAAAAAAUCCAAUAAGAAAUUAUGAGUGAUUUUAUUCAUCCCAGAACUGCACCAAAAGUGAAUUAAAGAUUUCUAGAGGAAAGAGAAGAAAGGGUAAAAAUGUGCUAGGGUAGAAAGGAUAAAAGGGAUGGGGCUGGCCAUUUCUCAUUAUAGGGCUAUUUCCCUCUAAUUAGGGUGGGUGAGAGAAAGUAUCUAAAGACUUGAAGGACGAUGAGAGUAGUGGGUUUUGGAGGAACUUUAUUCCCAUGUGAAUUACACAGGGUUGAGUUCACAUCCAAGGAGUUUGGCAUUUAGGAGAUAAUAGAUAGGGAAAGGAAGGUUUUAGAGAGAGAAUAAUCCCAGGGAGAGCAACUAGGUAUCACAGUGAAUAGAGCACUUAGAAUCGGGAAGACUUCAUGAAUUCAUAUUCAGUUUUAGGCACUUAGUAGCUGUGUGACCCUGAGCAAGUCACUUAACCUUGCCUGCCUCAGUUUCCUCAUCUCUAAAAUAAGCAGCAGGAGGAAAUGGCAAACCACUCCAGUAUCUUUGCCAAGAAAAUCCCAAAUGGGUCACAAAGAUUCAGACACGACUGAACAAGAAACCCAGGGAAGAAAUGGUCAUAAGUAAAACAAAUUGUUACAGAAAGGAGACUAGUAGGAAGAAGGGGGAGCAAUGAACCAGAAACAAAGGAAGUCAAUUUCAUUUGGGGAACAGAUAAAAUCAACUGUAGUAUAUGAAUAUAACAAACAUCAUUGUAAGAAAUGAAGAAAUGAUGUCAGAGAAUUCUGACAAAGUAUGAGACAGACUGAGAUGAGCAGUCCAGGAGAAUCAUUUUCCAGUGAAAACAUCAUAAAGGAAAACAGGUUUGGAAGACUUAGGAAAUUUGAUUAAUAAAUGAAUCAAACAUGCCUCCUUGGUGAUGAAACAUACUAAGGUAUAGGAGACAUUUGUUUUUGGACAAGAUCACUGUGUAAGUUUUGUUUGAUUAUGCUUAUUUUUAUAAGGGUUUCUUCCCCUCUUUUUCUGAGGGGGGUGUAAAGGAAGGGAAUGUAAAAGGGAGAAAUGCCAAAAAGAAAAAGAAAAAAGGGAGAUCAUUGAAACAUUUUUAAAAGUACCCAGAAUAAAGAAGGUAAUUUAGAAGAAUUUAUAGACAAUCAGGACAGUUUUUAAAUUGACAGGCUGAAUUUAUUAAAUACUUAAAUUUUAAAAAACAGAUAGCAUGGAAGGCAUUCAUAAUUUCAUAUAUAAUUCUUGUUUUGGGUUCUAAUUUGUAUAAGGAAAUGCUGAUAAAUUAUUGGAACUGAGGCAAUGUUAAGUUCAGAAAAAAAAAUUUUUCAAGGAUUACUGAACUAUUCCUAGUACAAAGUAAUCUUAUGCAAUGUUCUGGUGUAAAAUACAGAUAUGAUUACAUUAAGCUCAGGCAAAAAGGGAACCACCAGGGUUCAAAAACAAGAGGCACAAUUGUUUAGAGUUAGAAAGGUGCUAUAUCCCUUUUCCACAUCAUCCACACACACAAGCAUAUAGACUCCCUUAGUCUCCUUGAAAAAAAGGAAAUAUAUUUUUAGGGUGGUCCCUACAGCCAACAGAAAACUCAAACCUGAAAGAUAAACAAACAUACCGCUUAACAAGAGUUCUGGAGAGCUUUUCUUCUACAUUUCAAAGUAUGAUGAAAUUGCUUGAUAAUAAAAAUCAGGAAGGUUCAUCUUCCUGAGUUCAAUCUGGCCUCAGAUUCUUACUAGCUGUGUGACCCUGGGCAAGUCAUUUAAUCCUGUUUGCUUCAGUUUUCUUUUAUAAAAUGAGCUAGAGAAGGAAAUAGCAAACAUUCCAGAAUCUUUGCCAAGUAAACCCCAAAUGGGGUCACAAAGAGUCAGACAUGACUGAAAGGACUGAAUAACAAUAAAAAGCACAGGAGAAAACUGGGGAGCUGCUGUAGACUGCAAAUGAAAGAAACAUUACUGCUUCAGGGAAUUACUCUGCCCUAAGAGAAAAAUCAAUUACUAAUUCAGCUUCUCAGUGAUAGAAAGCUGUGAGAGGAAAGGAGCUCUUUUGUUAGACUGAUCCACUCAGGCAUGAUUAAAACCAAGUCUGAAACACUUAAAAAUUUUCUGGGAGUAAACAAUUUCCUGAGCACUAUAAGAAGUUGGCAAGGUUAUCUUUGAAAUUUGAUUAGUAUAAAUUAACAAAACAUGAAAGCAUGAUAGUAGGUGCUAGGGUCAGGAAAACAACAGUUCCUAACCUCAAAAAGCUUACAUUCUAUUGCGAACAAGAAAACAAAUACAAGAUAGAUACAAGGUAAUUUCUGGGGAUAGAAUGCUAGCAGCUGGCCUGAGGAUCAGAAAAGAUCUACUGCAGCCAGAGCAUUUGAAGUGAACUAGAAAGGAAGCUGGCAGAGGUGAAGAGGGAGUGGAUUCCAGAUAGGAAACAGAAAAGCAUGGGAAUGAGAUGGACAUAAGGAAACAGCAAAUAGUUAAUUUGGCUGGACUAUAGGACAGAAUACCCGAAGAACAGUUGUGAGUAAUAUUCCCUGGAAAGGCAGCCUGGAGCCAGAUAUGAUUAAAUGCCAAUGUUAUUUUCAGAACAAUGCUAGGAUUGGGUGCAGAAUCUCCAGUUCAGAACUUUGCAAACCAUAAAGUGCUACAUUAAUGUUAGCUAUUCUAGGGGAGGGGGUGGCAGGAAAGAAAAAAAAUUUGGAACACAAGGUUUUUGCAAGAGUAAAUGUUGAAAUGAGAUGAACCAAAUCAGUUCCAUUUGUUCACUAAUGAAUAGAACCAGCUACAGCCAGCAAAAGAACUCUGGGAAAUGAAUGUGAACCACUACAUAGCAUUCCCAAUUCCUCUGUUUUUGUACACUUGCAUUUUUGAUUUCCUUCACAGGUUAAUUGUACGUUAUUUCAAAGUCCGAUUCUUCUUGUGCAGCAAAAUAACUGUAUGGAUAUGUAUACAUAUAUUGUAUUUAACAUAUACUUUAACAUAUUUAACAUGUAUGGGUCUACCUGCCAUCUGGGGGAAGGGAUGGGAGAAAGAAGGGAAAAAUUGGAACAAAAGGUUUUGCAACUAUCAAUGCUGAAAAAUUACCCAUGCAUUUUUCUUGUAAAUGAAAAGCUAUAAUAAAAGAGUAAAUGUUGAAAACUAUCUUUUCAUAUAUUUUGGAAAUAAAAAUAGGAGAAAAUAUGAAAAAUAAAAAUAAAGGUUGGCUAAUAUAUUACAAUUAACAGGUAUCUGACUUACACCUUCUCUGACACUCAUCAGUGAUGUGACCUUGAACAAAUGGAGUGAAAACCUGAGAAAAAUACUACCCCUACUUGUCUCAUUGGAUUGCUAUGGGAAUGUACUUGGUAAACAGGAAUUCACUUUUAAAUGCUCUUACUCCACUCAAGUUCCACUAGUCUCAUCAUGCUCCCCCAGUCAGGUUCUGUCCAAUUACAAAGGUUUGAACUGUGGUCUCACUGACAAGACUAUGUAAGGCCCUUCCAGUCUGGCUCAUUUUGAAGGUGAAUUUUCAGCCACAGAAAAUCUAGAAAUGGUAAAGGGAUGGAAUGAAGGGUCUUAUAUUGAUGAAGUCACCUAAACUUGACUAAAAAAGAGAAAUAGAACCAAAAACUUAAAAACACGAGGGAGCAAGCAUUUGAUUAGCCUUGAGAUCCACAGAUUGUCUCAUGAUCAUACAAAUAUUCCUAGUAUCUCAGAAACCUUCAUCUCCCUCAUUUUACAUGAAUUGAAGCCAGCUAGGUAAUGGUAAAGGGAGGUCUAAAACUCUGACAACCACUCUUGUGUUACUGAAAAGUGGGAACAAUAAAACAUGCAUUAGGCCAUGCAAGGAGUGGUUAAGGAACAGUAGAAGUAAGAGUCCAGGAUAAUCACAGAUGGAAUUGGGCAGAAAAGUUGGAAUAAGAUAGAGGCAGAGAACAUUCAAUCAACAAUUUAUUUCAGGAUAAUUAAGACUGAGUUAGGUCUUAGGGAAAAGGCAAGAUUCUGAUGGGAGACUAUAUGAAUUGAACAUGUGAAUAAAUAAGUAAUCUAGUCAUUGGAGGGAAAAUGGCUAUGGCCAUAGUCUCCAUCUAUUAGUCCUGAUAAUAAUCUAAGUUAUAUAAUGCUCCAUCAUUCCCAAAGCAUUUUCCUCACAACCCUGUGAGGUUAAUAAUCAAAUGAUGGGAGUCAUAAGAGCAAAUACAAUUACCUUUUAUGCCUACUUUGGAAGUCAAUUUGCAAUGUUUGUACAAACUUAGAAAUUUAAAAGAGCUUUUUGUUGUUGUUGUUAAAUUUAGUAUUUAGGGAGGCAGAAACAAAAGGCUUGGACUUCUUUUGCUGGGAUAGUUAUAUGUUCUCUUCAUGUAUGCCCAACAUCUAUGCCAUCCCAAUUAGAUUUGGAUUUCUCAAAGGGAAGUGAGCUGUGUCUGCAAGUCCUAGCACAACGUCUAAAUUUUAAAAAUCACUACAGUUUGUAUAAGAAAGGGCCUGGGAGUGGGGGUGGGAGAUAGUCUCUGGUUAGCAUGAUCUAUAAUCUUCUAUUCACUUUUAAAACAAUAUAUUAUGAGCUCCUUGAUUAGUUUUGUUUUUUGGUUUUUUUUAGCCUUUCUUUAUAUCCUCAGUGCAUAGGACACUGCCUGUAAGCAAAUCAUAAAUUCUUACCUUGACAGAUACCAUGAGCUCUUACAAAUACAUGGCCCUUGAGGGCAGGGGCUGUCUUUGUAUUGCCAACAGGGUUGCUGGAACUUACUAGGCACUUAGCAAUGCCUGUACAAUUUUUUUCCACUGGAAUUCAGUGCUUCUUGAGAAGUAUGGCAUGUGGAGCCACCAUUUAGCAUGGUGCCAGAACAUGAGAAAUAUGCUACAAGAUGGGCACUUUAUUUUCCAAGGUAUGUGCUCAGGGAGGAAUGCAAUUGUAGUCUACUGCCUUUACUAGGCAUUAAGUGAUCUUGUGAGAUUAGAAAUGUUAGCACAGGUACCCUUCUCUAUUGGCCAAGAUUAGUCCUUACCAAAACCAACCCCAGACACUGACUAUAGUAGUAGGGACAAAAAAAACUCAUGGCUUUCU
ensembl:lncRNA